rnacentral:rRNA from 1 species
GACGAACGCUGGCGGCGUGCUUAACACAUGCAAGUCGAACGAGAAUCUACUGAAAGAGUUUUCGGACAAUGGAUGUAGAGGAAAGUGGCGGACGGGUGAGUAACGCGUGAGGAACCUGCCUUGAAGAGGGGGACAACAGUUGGAAACGACUGCUAAUACCGCAUGAUGCAUAGGGAUCGCAUGAUUCUUAUGCCAAAGAUUUAUCGCUUCAAGAUGGCCUCGCGUCUGAUUAGCUAGUUGGCGGGGUAACGGCCCACCAAGGCGACGAUCAGUAGCCGGACUGAGAGGUUGAACGGCCACAUUGGGACUGAGAUACGGCCCAGACUCCUACGGGAGGCAGCAGUGGGGAAUAUUGGGCAAUGGGCGCAAGCCUGACCCAGCAACGCCGCGUGAAGGAAGAAGGCUUUCGGGUUGUAAACUUCUUUUGUCAGGGACGAGUAGAAGACGGUACCUGACGAAUAAGCCACGGCUAACUACGUG